UAUAAGCCAACUCAAGCCAGUUGAAACACAGCUUCUACUUUAUUUCUCGUUCCUCCAGAUUUUUCAAAGCUGGGAGGCUCUGACCAACAUAACUGUUUAUACUGCAAACAUUUGCCUACCACAAAAUGAGUGAAAACCAUCAAGACCCUGGUCAGCUUUACAACUCCUGCCUAAAAGUAUUCAAUGAAUGAUAAAACUUAAAAUAGUCAUGGCAAGAAGUGAUCUGUAUUAAUAACAAAAGCUAGUACAAGACUAUUUAAAGGAAUACAGUUUAAAAACAGAGGAAAUGAUAGAUAACAGAGAAAUUGCAAACACACAGCGCAAGAACCUGAAGAGACAGAACUUCACACACUUGAACUUGUCCAAUCCAGAACACCUAAGACCCUUCCUUUCCCUGUGCCAGUGUACUUCAGGAGCAGCAUCAUGACCCACAAGUGAACAGCAAAGUGUAAUACAUGGAUUAGGUAUUCUCACAAAGAACAUGGCCAUAGUCCUCAUGGGCCAGCCCCCAGAUCUGCUGCUGUUUCCUAAACAGAUGCCAAACUUUUUUUUUUUCUUGGACCACGGCUUUCUAAAAACCACAAUUCCCAAGACAGAACUAGGAUUUCUUCUACAGAUCUGCACAUCUUUAAAAAAAAAAUGCAUCAGUCAAAAAAAAAAGUUACAUUAAGUCAACCUAUAAGCUAUAUAUGAACAGAUAAAAAGAAAAUUUCUAUACAACAGAUUAAACAUCACAAAUUAAAUGAACAUUUGGAAACAUUCUUCAGUGCCCACUCUAGUUCUGAAGGAAGCACAGUCUCCAGUUAUUGAGUACCAAGGACUGCCUGACUACAAAGAGAGAAAAACCAAGAGUGUAAUAUUCUUGACAAGGAUCACAGCUUGAGAAAGAAUCUUCCAGCUUCAACAAGGACAAUCAUCUAAUUUAGUUUCAAAAUAUCAUGUAAAAAGAUGUCAAUUAUUAUGAAAUCAUUCCUUUUGCUAGUAUCAAUAGAAUUUCCAAUCUCAAUAUGCUCCUUAAGGACGUAACAUAAAAAGCAACAAAUUAAAGGGUAGUAAGUCUUGCAACAGGUUCACUAGACCAUUCCAUCAUCCUUGCACAGUUUUCGCCUUCACAGUCAGUUUUAAGUCACCACUCGGUUCAUCAAAACAGGAAGAAAAGGGUCACAGUGAUUGCUUUAGGAUUAUGGCAAAAAAAAACUUAACUUGAAAAACCUCAAGAGAGUACAAACCACAA